rnacentral:rRNA from 1 species
AGAGCGAACGCUGGCGGCAGGCCUAACACAUGCAAGUCGAGCGCCCGUAGCAAUACGGGAGCGGCAGACGGGAUAGUAACACGUGGGAACGCGCCCUUCGGUUCGGAAUAGCUCAGGGAAACUUGAGCUAAUACCGGAUACGCCCUUACGGGGAAAGAUUUAUUGCCGAAGGAACGGCCCGCGUCCGAUUAGCUAGUUGGUGAGGUAAUGGCUCACCAAGGCGACGAUCGGUAGCUGGUCUGAGAGGAUGACCAGCAUCACUGGGACUGAGACACGGCCCAGACUCCUACGGGAGGCAGCAGUAGGGAAUCUUGCGCAAUGCGCGAAAGCGUGACGCAGCAACGCCGCGUGGGGGAAGAAGGCUCUCGGGUUGUAAACCCCUUUCAGUUGGGACGAAGCUUCGUCGGUUAAUAGCCGGCUGGAGUGACGGUACCUUCACUAAGAAGCACCGGCUAACUACGUGCCAGCAGCCGC